GCCUCGGUGGUGUAAUGGUAGCACGCGUCCCUGGUAUGUAGUGAAACACGGGUUCAACUCCCGUCCGAGGUC